UACGGGGGGGAGCAAGCGUUGUUCGGAUUUACUGGGCGUAAAGGGCGCGUAGGCGGUCGUGACAAGUCACUUGUGAAAUCUCCGGGCUUAACUCGGAACGGUCAAGUGAUACUGUCGGACUAGAGUACAGAAGGGGCAACUGGAAUUCUCGGUGUAGCGGUGAAAUGCGUAGAGAUCAUGAGGAAGACCAGUGGCGAAGGCGGGUCUCUGGACAGUUCCUGACACUGAGGCACGAAGGCCAGGGGAGCAAACGGG
rnacentral:rRNA from 1 species